UCGAGUGCGUGGCGGCACGGAUUCAUUCGUUCGUGCGCUCAGGUUGGUUGCUUCGUUUUCGCUAAAACUAGUUUAUUGCGCUUCGAUGUCACGCGUUAUUUAACCUGGGGUGAAGUGACGUGUUUGCAAGCGGACAUGUAAGCCCGAAAGUUGGGUAUCGGUCGUGAGCCAUUCGGAACACGUCUGCAUCGAAACGGGAGCUGGAUUCUGGUGCGGCUGACAACGGCAAUAACGACAUGCAGUAAUGAGGAUGGCACCAGCAUAAAGCAACACGCUCCACACUCUAAACAGAAGCUGCUGCCUACUACAACAAGGCCAUUGUGUGGACAUUGGCUGCUACUACAAGAGUCCAUGCCAAGCAUACCUUGGUCAUCACAGGAGCUCCUAUCCACACCAACAGAAAGGGGCUGGAGCUGAAUUUGCAAGGCUUUUACACCACGAACAAAGAAGCGCAUGCAGAAGAAUUUACAUGAGAUAUCAAGUCUGCAGAGCACUGUGUCAAGACUGAAAAGAGCUUCAGCCACCAUUCCACCAGCGCGGACAAAUUGGCUGAGUCAUCCAGGUAACUCAAAAAGGACUUUAUGGAAAUUCUUCGUCUUCAGAUGCGCCUGCAACUUCUGAUCAAGCACGGAUGAUGCUGGCCAAAAGAGUUCCAUUAGUUUGCCCUUAAUCAGCUUCCUGGCCAUGUCAAUUCCAUUUGUGCCAAGUGUAAUUUUUUUUCUAUAAAUGCAAGCUUUUUCAUUGCCCAUUCUCGUUAGAGAUCAUUCAUCCUCAUCCAAACAUAAAGGUCAACCGAUUCUUCGCUGAUACUUAAUACCAGUCACUGUCUAGUAGCAUAACAUAUCUGUAGCAGUACCUUUUAGUGCAUGUUGUCAUGCACAAUUCCUCUCCUGAAAUAGCUGAUGCAACAUCGACAUGUUUCUUGCAUUAACCUACGCACUGUUUGCUAUGCACCAUUUUACUUUUCUUGAUGUUUUUGGCCUUCAAUGCUUGCAGAGCAGGGUGGCUUCUCUCUUGAAUGCAAGCUUUCUCAUUUUCCAUAUUCCUAGUCUUGUUGAUGGUUGCUCUUCUUCCUCGAUAGCCUGGGUCUUUGCGCAAGCUACACUGAAUGAUAGAUUGCAGAAUCUGGUUUUGCUGCCCCACUUGGUUGUGGUCGCCGUGUUACAUUUCUCGGAUGUGGGGGCCUGCUCAGUUACAUUGGUAAGCAGUCUCUCGAGGUAAGCAUUUGCUCCUGCAGUCCGCACAGCGACAUAGACUCCCAGUGUACACACACCAUAACUGGUGCUCCCCGUUCAU